UAGUAUAAUUGGAAGUACAAAGGGUUUUGGGCCUUUUGGUGCAGGUUCGAGGCCUGUUUUUCUA
rnacentral:tRNA from 1 species